AUUGAACGCUGGCGGCAUGCCUUACACAUGCAAGUCGAACGGUAACAGGUCUUCGGAUGCUGACGAGUGGCGAACGGGUGAGUAAUACAUCGGAACGUGCCCGAUCGUGGGGGAUAACGAAGCGAAAGCUUUGCUAAUACCGCAUAAGAUCUACGGAUGAAAGCAGGGGACCGCAAGGCCUUGCGCGAACGGAGCGGCCGAUGGCAGAUUAGGUAGUUGGUGGGAUAAAAGCUUACCAAGCCGACGAUCUGUAGCUGGUCUGAGAGGACGACCCGCCACACUGGGACUGAGACACGGCCCAGACUCCUACGGGAGGCAGCAGUGAGGAAUUUUGGACAAUGGGCGAAAGCCUGAUCCAGCCAUGCCGCGUGCAGGAUGAAGGCCUUCGGGUUGUAAACUGCUUUUGUACGGAACGAAAAGACUCUUUCUAAUAAAGAGGGUCCAUGACGGUACCGUAAGAAUAAGCACCGUCUAACUACGUGCCAGCAGCCGCCGUAACAC
rnacentral:rRNA from 1 species